UACGGGGGGAGCAAGCGUUGUUCGGAUUUACUGGGCGUAAAGGGCGCGUAGGCGGCCACCGCAAGUCAGUUGUGAAAUCUCUGGGCUUAACCCAGAAAGGUCAACUGAUACUGCGGGGCUAGAGUGCAGAAGGGGCAACUGGAAUUCUCGGUGUAGCGGUGAAAUGCGUAGAUAUCGAGAGGAACACCUGCGGCGAAGGCGGGUUGCUGGGCUGACACUGACGCUGAUGCGCGAAAGCUAGGGGAGCGAAGCGGG
rnacentral:rRNA from 1 species